GGGGUAGUGGCUCAGUGGUAGAGCGCUUGCCUAGCAAGCUGGGUUCGAUCCCCAGCUCCA
rnacentral:tRNA from 1 species